rnacentral:rRNA from 1 species
UACGAAGGGGGCUAGCGUUGUUCGGAAUUACUGGGCGUAAAGGGCGCGUAGGCGGGCAGUCAAGUCUGUGGUGAAAUCCUCCGGCUCAACCGGAGAAUAGCUGGAGAUACUGACUGUCUCGAGGGGGGUAGGGGCAUGUGGAACUUCCGGUGGAGCGGUGAAAUGCGUAGAUAUCGGAAGGAACGCCGGUGGCGAAAGCGACGUGCUGGACCCUUUCUGACGGCUGAGGCGCGAAAGCCAGGGGAGCAAACGGG